UGGGGAAUAUUGGACAAUGGGGGGCAACCCUGAUCCAGCAAUGCCGCGUGUGUGAAGAAGGUCUUCGGAUUGUAAAGCACUUUCGACGGGGACGAUGAUGACGGUACCCGUAGAAGAAGCCCCGGCUAACUUCGUGCCAGCAGCCGCGGUAAUACGAAGGGGGCUAGCGUUGCUCGGAAUGACUGGGCGUAAAGGGCGUGUAGGCGGUUUACACAGUCAGAUGUGAAAUCCCCGGGCUUAACCUGGGAGCUGCAUUUGAUACGUGUAGACUAGAGUGUGAGAGAGGGUUGUGGAAUUCCCCAGUGUAGAGG
rnacentral:rRNA from 1 species